ACGGAAGCAAUAAAAAAAAAUUGAAAGAAAGACUUAGCUCAUGCAGAACCACGUGGACGUGCUAGCUCUAACUACCAAAUGAUAGGAACGUCCUUCAAUCUUCAAGAAGGAGUGGCUCCUUGAUCCAGAAUGACGCAGCGGAAUGGAAAACGAAGUUGAUGGAUGCAGUGCACGGCAGGUGUUUGAUAAAAUGUUUGGACGUGUUUGGAUGAAGGUGUAGAUAGAAUUCUAGCUCAGAAGGCUUUCCUAAGGGGAAAGAAGCUAGAGGAUGCAAAGCUAAAGCUAGCAAAGAGUUUGAACUUGAGAGAAGUGACUGAAUUUUGACAGCAUAACACUAAUUUCAUUCAAGUUGAUUUACAAGAGAUGAAGCUUCUCUUUU
rnacentral:lncRNA from 1 species